GAACUGUUACGAAGCACAGCAGCGAACCCUCCGUUCAUUAUAGUUUUACCGAGUGUUUAUGUGAUGUGAUGGAAUAUCCACAAGGCGUCUGUUACAGGCCGGAGAAAGGAAAAACCAGGAGUAAACGGCAGGCCACAGGGCAGACGGUCGCCACGCAAUCCGGGAACGAGCACAAAUCAAUUUCGGUAUCGCGCUUCCCCAGGGCGUGCCACUUUAUCGGAUCAGGGUCGUGGGAAGCCUGGAGCCUAUCCCAGGAGACUUGGGGACGCCCUAGAUAGUGUGCCAGCCAGUCGC
ensembl:lncRNA